rnacentral:misc_RNA from 1 species
GCAUCUUAUAACAAUUAAAGAUUCCAUUGUUAAAUGCAUUUCAUGGGUGUGAUCGAUCUCAAACUUAGAAUCACACUAUUUAGUGGAAAAUUCAUGAAAGAUUUUAUUCAAUUCAAAAGGUUUCCCAUCGCAAAUUUUCGAGCUAUUGUUGUGGAAGAGUUAAUAACCUUAUUUUUCUUGUUGAUUUUUGGCGAGUUGAUAUAGCUUGUUCUUCUAAGAAUUCUAAACGAUACCCAUUAUCAUGCCAAGUGAUUUCUUGGAAUCUCAACGAUGCAAGUGGCAAUUCUUGCAGUUUAGUUCCAUAGAUAAACAGUAACUGAAAUUAUUGGGAUAAAGGCUUAGUUAAGUUAAGUUGAGUUGAG